GGACGAACGCUGGCGGCGUGCCUAAUACAUGCAAGUCGAGCGGACCUUUCGGGGUCAGCGGCGGACGGGUGAGUAACACGUGGGCAAUCUGCCCGAUACUCUGGGAUAACGCUUGGAAACGAGUGCUAAUACCGGAUGGUCUUCUUGGCCGCAUGGCCGAAAAGGAAAAGACGCGUUCGCGUCGGUGUCGGAUGAGCCCGCGGCGCAUUAGCUAGUUGGUGAGGUAACGGCCCACCAAGGCGACGAUGCGUAGCCGACCUGAGAGGGUGACCGGCCACACUGGGACUGAGACACGGCCCAGACUCCUACGGGAGGCAGCAGUAGGGAAUCUUCCACAAUGGGCGAAAGCCUGAUGGAGCAACGCCGCGUGAGUGAUGAAGGCCUUCGGGUUGUAAAACUCUGUCAUUCGGGACGAACCGGAGUCUGAGGAAAUGCAGACUCUCUGACGGUACCGGAGGAGGAAGCCCCGGCUAACUACGUGCCAGCAGCCGCGGUAAUACGUAGGGGGCAAGCGUUGUCCGGAUUCACUGGGCGUAAAGCGCGCGCAGGCGGUGAUGUAAGUCUGAGGUGAAAACCCGAAGCUCAACUUCGGGACUGCCUUGGAUACUGCGUCACUUGAGGAUAGGAGAGGCAAGGGGAAUUUCCACGUGUAGCGGUGAAAUGCGUAGAGAUGUGGAGGAACACCUGUGGCGAAGGCGCCUUGCUGGGCCUAUUUCUGACGCUGAGGCGCGAAAGCGUGGGGAGCAAACAGGAUUAGAUACCCUGGUAGUCCACGCUGUAAACGAUGAGUGCUAGGUGUAGGUGGGCUCAUACCCAUCUGUGCCGAAGCUAACGCAUUAAGCACUCCGCCUGGGGAGUACGGUCGCAAGACUGAAACUCAAAGGAAUUGACGGGGGCCCGCACAAGCAGUGGAGCAUGUGGUUUAAUUCGAAGCAACGCGAAGAACCUUACCAGGACUUGACAUCCCAUAGACCAGUCUAGAGAUAGACUUUCCCUUCGGGGCUGUGGUGACAGGUGGUGCAUGGUUGUCGUCAGCUCGUGUCGUGAGAUGUUGGGUUAAGUCCCGCAACGAGCGCAACCCUUACUUUGUGUUGCCAGCAUUCAGUUGGGCACUCACAAGGGACUGCCGCCGAUAAGGCGGAGGAAGGUGGGGAUGACGUCAAAUCAUCAUGCCCCUUAUGUCCUGGGCUACACACGUGCUACAAUGGGCGGUACAACGGGAUGCGAAGCCGCGAGGUGGAGCCAAACCCUGAAAACCGUUCGUAGUUCGGAUUGUAGGCUGCAACUCGCCUACAUGAAGCCGGAAUUGCUAGUAAUCGCGGAUCAGCAUGCCGCGGUGAAUCCGUUCCCGGGCCUUGUACUCACCGCC
rnacentral:rRNA from 1 species